AUACGGAGGGUGCAAGCGUUAAUCGGAAUUACUGGGCGUAAAGCGUACGUAGGCGGCAAGUUAAGUUAGAUGUGAAAGCCCCGGGCUUAACCUGGGAACUGCAUUUAAAACUGGCUUGCUAGAGUUGAGUAGAGGGGAGUGGAAUUUCAGGUGUAGCGGUGAAAUGCGUAGAGAUCUGAAGGAACACCAGUGGCGAAGGCGACUCCCUGGACUCGAACUGACGCUGAGGUACGAAAGCGUGGGUAGCAAACGGGAUUAGAAACCCUAGUAGUCC
rnacentral:rRNA from 1 species